rnacentral:tRNA from 1 species
GCUCUGGUAGUAUAAUGGCAAGUAUUUCCGCCUGUCACGUGGGAGAUCGGGGUUCGAUUCCCCGCCAGAGCG